AAGUCGUAACAAGGUUUCCGUAGGUGAACCUGCGGAAGGAUCAUUAACACGUAUCCAACGUUAAACCCCCCGUGAACCUUCAUUGUGCUCCCCCAUUCCGUUAGGACGCGGCAAUCCCUGGUAAAUCAUCGCCGAACAGUUUUGAUUCAGGGACCUCUGCAUGGAGUGGGCAGCAGCGCGAGGCAAGUGGCCUGGCAUUCGAAAGAAUGGCGCAGUAACGGCGACCGGGUCACUGGGCUCACGCCCCCCUAUCACCUUUGCAUGAAAACGGGCCUGCGCUUAAUUGUGCGGCCACCAAACUCGAACAACUGUUAACAAUGGAUAUCUUGGUUCUC
rnacentral:misc_RNA from 1 species